rnacentral:rRNA from 1 species
AGCGAACGCUGGCGGCAGGCCUAACACAUGCAAGUCGAACGAACUCUUCGGAGUUAGUGGCGGACGGGUGAGUAACACGUGGGAACGUGCCGUUUGGUUCGGAAUAACUCAGGGAAACUUGUGCUAAUACCGAGUGCGCCCUUCGGGGGAAAGAUUUAUCGCCAUUAGAGCGGCCCGCGUCUGAUUAGCUAGUUGGUGAGGUAACGGCUCACCAAGGCGACGAUCAGUAGCUGGUCUGAGAGGAUGACCAGCCACACUGGGACUGAGACACGGCCCAGACUCCUACGGGAGGCAGCAGUGGGGAAUCUUGCGCAAUGGGCGAAAGCCUGACGCAGCCAUGCCGCGUGAAUGAUGAAGGUCUUAGGAUUGUAAAAUUCUUUCACCGGGGACGAUAAUGACGGUACCCGGAGAAGAAGCCCCGGCUAACUUCGUG